GAGGGUAUAGCUCAGUAUGGUAGAGUGGAUGCUUAGCAUGCACAAAGUCCAGGGCUCAAUUCCCAGUAUCUCCA
rnacentral:tRNA from 1 species